rnacentral:rRNA from 1 species
AAGGCGACGACGGGUAGCCGGCCUGAGAGGGUGACCGGCCACACUGGGACUGAGACACGGCCCAGACUCCUACGGGAGGCAGCAGUGGGGAAUAUUGCACAAUGGGCGCAAGCCUGAUGCAGCGACGCCGCGUGAGGGAUGACGGCCUUCGGGUUGUAAACCUCUUUCAGCAGGGAAGAAGCGAAAGUGACGGUACCUGCAGAAGAAGCGCCGGCUAACUACGUGCCAGCAGCCGCGGUAAUACGUAGGGCGCAAGCGUUGUCCGGAAUUAUUGGGCGUAAAGAGCUCGUAGGCGGUUUGUCGCGUCUGCUGUGAAAGCCCGGGGCUCAACCCCGGGUCUGCAGUGGGUACGGGCAGACUUGAGUGCAGUAGGGGAGACUGGAAUUCCUGGUGUAGCGGUGAAAUGCGCAGAUAUCAGGAGGAACACCGAUGGCGAAGGCAGGUCUCUGGGCUGUAACUGACGCUGAGGAGCGAAAG